rnacentral:rRNA from 1 species
GAUGAACGCUGGCGGCGUGCCUAAUACAUGCAAGUCGAGCGAACAGACGAGGAGCUUGCUCCUCUGACGUUAGCGGCGGACGGGUGAGUAACACGUGGAUAACCUACCUAUAAGACUGGGAUAACUUCGGGAACCGGAGCCUAUUCCGGAUAAAAUAAUUAACCCGCUUGGUCCAUUGUGAAAAACCGGUUUUCCUUUCACUAUAGGUUGAUCCCCGCCGCAUUAGCUAGUUGGUAAGGUAACGGCUUACCAAGGCGACGAUGCGUAGCCGACCUGAGAGGGUGAUCGGCCACACUGGAACUGAGACACGGUCCAGACUCCUACGGGAGGCAGCAGUAGGGAAUCUUCCGCAAUGGGCGAAAGCCUGACGGAGCAACGCCGCGUGAGUGAUGAAGGUCUUCGGAUCGUAAAACUCUGUUAUUAGGGAAGAACAAAUGUGUAAGUAACUAUGCACGUCUUGACGGUACCUAAUCAGAAAGCCACGGCUAACUACGUG